UUUCUCGAAGCAAACUUAGAAAUCCAAUAGUCAACUGCCAUAACUUAAAGCUACCUGCCAUUGCUGCCUUUGCUGCCUUUGACUAAUGACCAUUAACCAACAUCUAAUCUUCCUUGUCUGAGAGAGAUCUGAGAAAACCUUGAACACCAAACUCCGAUUAUUUUUCCAUAUUCCCAAUUUACAGUUCAAUAAAUGAUGAAUUCGAACGAUGAAGGACUGGGGUACUGGCUUAGAUGGCAAGUUCCGGUGUGUGCACUUAUCAUCGUCGCUCCAUCUGUUUUAGCUUUAUAUGUCAUCAGCAAAGUUAAAACAGAGCCGUUGUUUUUCAAUGAUUUAUGGAAGCCACAGUGGAGAAAGCUCAAUCCCUGCUGCCUUCUAUAUUGUAGAGCUUUUGUUUUCAUAUGCUGGCUCGGAUACUGUUUGAGGUUGUUGUCUUAGAGAGAGAGGAGCUUUUGCUUUCUAUUUCUACACUUAGUGGAUAUUCGCAUUGGUUAUGGUCUAUUUUGCGCUGGGGACCGUCUUCUCUGCUUACGGAUGUUGUGUGUGCUUAAAUACACCUCUUCCUGAAAAUGGUGCAAGUGACGAGUUUCUGAAAAGGGAUGUGGAAGAAAAUGUAAUUCAAAACUCUGCGACUGUUAGGGAAAAUGAUGCGAGGGACAAAAUCAAGUUGCAGAGUCGCUAUGCUCAGGAGGAGAUUCAGGAAAGUGCAGGAUUUUGGGGGACAUCUUAUGCAAACUAUAUAUCAGGUGCUGUCGUUCUGACAGAUAUCGUAUUUUCGUGUGUUCUUGUUCCAGUUUUAUUGGACUCACAUGUUAAUGGGUUCCAUGCAUUCUUUGAACGUUGUUUUUCUUAUCCUUGACACCCUUCUCAAUAGCCUUCCAUUUCCUUGGUUCCGGCUUGCAUAUUUUGUUCAAUGGAGCUGUCUGUAUGUUGUUUUGCAACGGGUUCUUCAUGCCUGCGGUUUUACAUGGUGGCUGUAUCCUUUCCUCGAGCUUAAUACGCCAUAGGCUCUUUUAUGGUACUUUUCCCUUGCUGUGGUCCAUAUCCCCUGCUAUGGCAUGUAUGCACUUAUUGUAAAAGCUAAAAAUUCAAUCCUCCCAAAAUUGUUCCCUUAUGCUUUUGUGAGAUCAUUCUUUCUUUCUUUCUUUGUAUAUGAAGAAGGGGAGGGGAUAUUGUACUAAUUCAUUAUUUUUGGACCGUCUGACCUUAUUUGAUAUUUAAUUUCGCCAU